AGGCUGAGGCAAGAGAACUGCUUGAACCUGGGAGGCAGAGGUUGCAGUGAGCAGAGAGAACGCACCAUGGCACUCCAGCUUGGGUGACAGAGUGAGACUCCAUCUCAAAAAAAAAAAAAAGAAAAGAAUCAUGUUCGUGUGCACAAAAAUAUGUAAGACUGUUCAGUGGCAUUGUUCAUGAUAGCUGUAAAUGAAAACCAUUCAUAGGCCCCUUACCAGUGCUUGGAUAGAGGCUGGUUUAUUUGUACAAGAGAAUACUACAGAACAGCAGGUCUCAAAGUGCGGUCCCCACACCAGUAGUGCCAGCAUCACCUGGGGAGUUGUUAGAAACACAAAGUCUCAGGCCUUAUCCCAGAUCAAAUAAAUCAGAAACUGUAGGGAUGGGCCCUGGAACAUGUGUUUUAACAAAUUUCCUGGGUUUUUCUGAUGCACACUCAAUUUUAACACUCACUGCCAUAGAGCAAUCAAAAUGAGUGAACUAUCCUUACCUGCAUCAAUACAGGUGAAUCUCAGAUAGAGAGACAGAGGUGAUAGAUGAUAGAUAGAUAGAUGAUAGAUAGAUGUUAGAUAGAUGAUAGAUAGACUAUAUUGAGCAGAAGCAGCAAUAUACAAAUGAAUAACUAUGAUUCCAUUUACAUAAAGUUCAAAAGUGGGAAAGACUAUACCGUAUUCUUUAUGAUUGCAUUCCUAGUGGAUAAAACAACAAAGAAAGUGAAGAAAUGACUGGCCAAGGCUGGGUACAGUGACUCUGUCCUGUAAUUUUAGCACUUUGGGAGGCUAAGGUGGCAGAUCACUUGAGCCCAGGAGUUCAAGACCAGCCUAAGCAACAUGGCAAAACCCCAUCUCUACAAAAAAAAAAUAAACAACAGGUGGUGGUGGCACCUGACCUUUACUGGCUACUUUAUAGAUAGCAUUUAUAGGUCACCAUGGUAAUGGUUACUUCAGUUAUUUUUCAGGAACUUGGGCCAGCUCCUGUCAUGUUCAAACCAGCUGAGACCACCAACUCUUCAACUGGGCCUGCGCAAGUGCCUGAGAGGUGGCCUUUGGACAUCAGAGGGCCAAAUACUCCACCCUCAGAUCAUGCUAACACCACCAUUUUCUGUACAUAGGUCCUAUGAAAUGUCAUGAACCCUGACUACACUUGUGCAAAAUGAAUCUGUUACUUUAUUUUUCCCCACUGCCAAUCACCUUUCCCCAAGACUUAAACCACCCCACUUCUCUAACCCAUAAAUAUCCCUAAGCCUUAUUUUCAGAGAAGUGGAUUUGAGAGCUGUUUUCCCACAUCUUCACCUGGUGCCCUUGAGAAUAAGUAUCUUUUCUUUUGCAGAACCCAUGUCAUAGUGAUUGAUUUACUGCACAUGGGCAGAACGGACCUGGACCUGGCCAGUAACAGUCUUCUUGUCGUAGCCUCACAUGGCAGAAAGUAGAGAGUAAGACCUCUUGCAUCUUUUCUUACAAGGCACUAAUCCUGUGAUAGGUACCCCACCCUCAUGACCAAAUCUAACCCUAAUCACCACCCAAAGGCCUCAUCUCCAAAUACCAUCUCAUUAGUGG
rnacentral:lncRNA from 10 species